GACGAACGCUGGCGGCGUGCUUAACACAUGCAAGUCGAACGGAAAGGCCCUGCUUUUGUGGGGUGCUCGAGUGGCGAACGGGUGAGUAACACGUGAGUAACCUGCCCUUGACUUUGGGAUAACUUCAGGAAACUGGGGCUAAUACCGGAUAGGAGCUCCUGCUGCAUGGUGGGGGUUGGAAAGUUUCGGCGGUUGGGGAUGGACUCGCGGCUUAUCAGCUUGUUGGUGGGGUAGUGGCUUACCAAGGCUUUGACGGGUAGCCGGCCUGAGAGGGUGACCGGCCACAUUGGGACUGAGAUACGGCCCAGACUCCUACGGGAGGCAGCAGUGGGGAAUAUUGCACAAUGGGCGGAAGCCUGAUGCAGCAACGCCGCGUGCGGGAUGACGGCCUUCGGGUUGUAAACCGCUUUCGCCUGUGACGAAGCGUGAGUGACGGUAAUGGGUAAAGAAGCACCGGCUAACUACGUGCCAGCAGCCGCGGUGAUACGUAGGGUGCGAGCGUUGUCCGGAUUUAUUGGGCGUAAAGGGCUCGUAGGUGGUUGAUCGCGUCGGAAGUGUAAUCUUGGGGCUUAACCCUGAGCGUGCUUUCGAUACGGGUUGACUUGAGGAAGGUAGGGGAGAAUGGAAUUCCUGGUGGAGCGGUGGAAUGCGCAGAUAUCAGGAGGAACACCAGUGGCGAAGGCGGUUCUCUGGGCCUUUCCUGACGCUGAGGAGCGAAAGCGUGGGGAGCGAACAGGCCUAGAUACCCUGGUAGUCCACGCUGUAAACGGUGGGUACUAGGUGUGGGGUCCAUUCCACGGGUUCCGUGCCGUAGCUAACGCUUUAAGUACCCCGCCUGGGGAGUACGGCCGCAAGGCUAAAACUCAAAGGAAUUGACGGGGCCCCGCACAAGCGGCGGAGCAUGCGGAUUAAUUCGAUGCAACGCGUAGAACCUUACCUGGGUUUGACAUGGAUCGGGAGCGCUCAGAGAUGGGUGUGCCUCUUUUGGGGUCGGUUCACAGGUGGUGCAUGGCUGUCGUCAGCUCGUGUCGUGAGAUGUUGGGUUAAGUCCCGCAACGAGCGCAACCCUUGUUCACUGUUGCCGGCACGUUAUGGUGGGGACUCAGUGGAGACCGCCGGGGUCAACUCGGGGGAAGGUGGGGAUGACGUCAAGUCAUCAUGCCCCUUAUGUCCAGGGCUUCACGCAUGCUACAAUGGCUGGUACAGAGAGUGGCGAGCCUGUGAGGGUGAGCGAAUCUCGGAAAGCCGGUCUCAGUUCGGAUUGGGGUCUGCAACUCGACCUCAUGAAGUCGGAGUCGCUAGUAAUCGCAGAUCAGCAACGCUGCGGUGAAUACGUUCCCGGGGCU
rnacentral:rRNA from 1 species